CACGUAGGCGGUCGGCUAUGUCGGAUGUGAAAGCCUCGGGCUUAACCCGAGAAGGGCAUCCGAAACUGGCCGGCUUGAGUACGGAAGAGGGUCUCGGAAUUCCCGGUGUAGCGGUGAAAUGCGCAGAUAUCAGGAGGAACACCGGUGGCGAAGGCGGAUCUCUGGGCCUUACCUGACGCUGAGGCGCGAAAGCUAGAGGAGCGAACA
rnacentral:rRNA from 1 species